AUGAACGCUGGCGGCGUGCUUAACACAUGCAAGUCGGACGAUUAAAGCUCACUUCGGUGAGUGCAUAGAGUGGCGAACGGGUGAGUAACACGUGGGAAACCUGCCCUUUCUUCGGGAUAACUUCGGGAAACCGUUGCUAAUACCGGAUACUCCGGGAUGGUCGCAAUGGCCGACCCGGGAAAGCUUUAUGUGGAAAGGGAUGGUCCCGCGGCCCAUUAGCUUGUUGGUGGGGUAAUGGCCUACCAAGGCGAUGAUGGGUAGCCG
rnacentral:rRNA from 1 species